GGGACCUGGUGGCCCAAGUGGUCAAGGCGCUGCCCAGGGGAAGGGAAGCGAAGAAGAUGGUGGGUGUGGCAGAUCCCAUCUGACGCGUCCCGUCGGUCCCGCCA
rnacentral:tRNA from 1 species